rnacentral:rRNA from 1 species
AGAGUUUGAUCAUGGCUCAGGACGAACGCUGGCGGUGUGCUUAACACAUGCAAGUGGAGCGACGAACCAGAGCUUGCUCUGGGGCAGAGCCCGAACGGGUGAGUAACACGUGGGUAACCUACCCCGAUGACUGGGACAACCCGAGGAAACUCGGGCUAAUACCGGAUAUGUCCGACAUUCACGAGGAUGUCGAGCAAAGGAAGCUUCGGCCUCCGCAUUGGGACGGGCCCGCGGCCCAUUAGCUAGUUGGUGGGGUAAUGGCCUACCAAGGCUGCGAUGGGUAGCUGGUCUGAGAGGACGAUCAGCCACACUGGGACUGAGACACGGCCCAGACUCCUACGGGAGGCAGCAGUGGGGAAUCUUGCGCAAUGCGCGAAAGCGUGACGCAGCAACACCGCGUGAGGGAAGACGGCCUUCGGGUUGUAAACCUCUUUCAGGAGGGACGAAGGAUGGGCGGUGAAUAGCCGUUCCACCUGACGGUACCUUCAGAAGAAGCACCGGCUAACUACGUGCCAGCAGCCGCGGUAAUACGUAGGGUGCAAGCGUUGUCCGGAAUCAUUGGGCGUAAAGCGCGCGUAGGCGGCCCGAUAAGUCCGCUGUAAAAGUCAACGGCUCAACUGUUGAAAGCCGGUGGAUACUGUCGGGCUAGAGUACGGAAGAGGCAAGUGGAAUUCCUGGUGUAGCGGUGGAAUGCGCAGAUAUCAGGAGGAACACCUAUAGCGAAGGCAGCUUGCUGGGACGUUACUGAGCUAAGGCGCGAAAGCGUGGGGAGCGAACAGGAUUAGAUACCCUAGUAGUCC